CAGCUAUAUUUGGCGUAGUGAGUUUCUGGAUGGAAGAAAGAUGAAGAGAUUGGCAGGUGUGGAGUCAGGGACUCCUUAGUCUUGAAGGAAACAUCCAUGGCUUAGAGGACUCCUGAAGACAAAGAUGAGCCUUCUGUUUCCAGUGAUCAUGGGCCCCAGAUGAAGCCAGCCUGGGGGUAAUAAACCAGGUAAUUAUCUCCAUCCUUCCUGUGACAAUAAUGGUGUAGAGGCAGGUAAAAAUUCAUCAGAGGUGGCUUCGCAAGUCCCCAGGGAGACUCACGAUAAAGGGGCUGAUUGUCAGAAUCCGCCUCUGCAGCAUUACACCAGGGCUCUGUAAUGACGGCCCAGGGCCACAUUGUGCCUCCAGAGUAAAGAACUGUGGAGAUGAAAAAGAGACAGACACCUACAUUCCAGCACGGUACCCCACCAAGUCUGCGUGGAUGGCCUGGAUCAGUAAUUAGAAACACAGUGCCGUAAAUAUUGAAAGAAACUUCUGUAAACAUUCUAGAGGACAAUGAAAUUGGAAACAAUAAGCAGAUGGGCUUUUAUUCAAAGCAAAUCCUGCCAGAUGGACCCAGUACUACUUCUUCUUCUUUUUUUUUUGAUAAAAGUACAAAGUUGGUGAUGAAGGGAAAAUGGCACGUUUGAUGUCAUAUGUUUGAACAUUGUUAAAACAUUUGAGUCUUCCAAGAAGGCUGAUUUGCAGAAUUGGCUCAGAAUGCUUGGAAUAGAAGCACAUACCUGACAAAAAAGUUGGAUAAAUGCUGCUAAUUGGGCAAGAGAAAGUGCUGGAAUACUGGGCUGGCGGGACAGCCUCAGGAGCGGUCCUUCAAGGAACCAUGGAGCUUUGCAACCUGAAAGGACCUUAGAGAUCAUCAGUUCCAACCCUCUCAUUUAAGGCUAAGGAAACUCAACCAAAAGGAGACAAUGACUGCACACAACCAGGGCUAGAAGAGCUUACUUGACAAUUCGUUCUACAGAGUGAGGGCUAGGUCUCCUCUCCACCUGGCAGCUCUCGUAUGUGGAAAGGAAAUAAAAUGUGGUCAACUACAAUUCUGAAAGGAUUCUCAAUACACAGAUGAAAUAAUUGGACCCUGAGCAAAUCAAGGCCAAGAUAUAGAUCAUGCGCCCUUAACAUGGUGCGGCCUCAGACACAGCGGAGAUGGUGGUUGAGAAGUGGAAAGUUUUCCUACAGACCAUGCUUCCAAGGUCCCUGCAGUUUUUAAGUCCC
rnacentral:lncRNA from 1 species